AACAAAGCCAACCAUGCUAAAAUGAUCAUUUCCAUAAACUGACCUUUCAAUGCCCCUUGAGGAGGUGAUGCUCUCCUUUUUCAAGAUUUUCAGGGCAUAGGAUCUUUUGGUUGCCGCGUGUUCAACAAGGAGAACCUGGAAUAAGAGAGAAUCUCAGGAAAUGCAGGAAGAUACAUGCAGAACAUCCAUACCCCUUUCAGAGAGCUGCAAGAAUCGAUCCAAACUUGCCCCAGCAUUGCAAGGUUGCAUCUUACUGUGGGUCCUUUGUCACUGCCAGUGGACAUCCUUCUGCUGCAUCAGGUGGAGUUGGGCUGAUGUUUUCUUCAUCCACAGAUAUCUCACUAUAAGGAAAAGUCUCUAAUCGUCAGGCAUGAAGCGACAGCUUGAUAUUUCCAUCUGCCUUACCUCAGAAUGCCGACGCAAGAUGCCAGAAUGUCCGGCACCCAUCUUGACGCUCCUGUAUGAGAAAAAAAAGGUUGGUGUAAGUGGCUGCUUCAGUGGAGAUAAAGAAUACAACUGUUUGUAGCUGCUGGUAAACUACAAGCUCAAGACAAGCACCUCUCUGUAACCUCACUGCUACACAUCUGAGCAGAAAGUCACAUUUUCCCAAUAAUCUUAGGCGACAAAGAAGACGAUUAAUCAAGAACUGAGACUGACGUCUAGAAAUAAACAGCAACCAUCCAAUUGAAUUUUU